CUACGAAUAUGAUUAUGGAAUUAUAUGACCACAGAUACUCCCAAGAUGCUCUUGCCAUUCCCAUUUUGCAGAGGAGAGAGCUGAGGUUUACCAAAAGUAAGUUGCUCAGUGGUGGAUGCCAGAAAUUCAGCUUGGCAGUUUGACUCAAGAUCUGAUGCUCCCAGCCAGUAAGUGCAAGAUGCAUCAAAAUCAACAUCUCACUUUCCAGGAUAGCAUGUUGUCCCUUAACUAGUUUAAAUUGGGUUGACAGAUGAAGUGAACUCCUCCUACCCACCUGAGGCAGACUGUGCCAUGUGAUGAUCAAAUCUCUGGAUUCCCAGGAAGACUACAAUUUUCAAUAUCCUUUGAAAUAGAUGGCAACAUAUAACUGAAUUCUAGCCAAUGGAAUACAGCUGGAUGUGUAGGAAUAAUCCGACUGAGGACCUGGAGGCUCUAGAAGGUGGUGGAGUCCAUUGACAGGUGGAUCCAGGCUUCUCAAUGACUUCAGGUAGACCCUCCCUAUGGCAUUGCAUUGAACUGUGAGUUGAACAGUAAUAAUCAUUUUGCAUUAAGUCACUAUAACGUGGGAAUUGUUUGUUAUAACUGUAGG